GAUGAACGCUGGCGGCGUGCCUAAUACAUGCGAGUCGAGCGAACGGACGAGAAGCUUGCUUCUCUGAUGUUAGCGGCGGACGGGUGAGUAACACGUGGAUACCUACCUAUAAGACUGGGAUAACUUCGGGAAACCGGAGCUAAUACCGGAUAAUAUUUUGAACCGCAUGGUUCAAAAGUGAAAGACGGUCUUGCUGUCACUUAUAGAUGGAUCCGCGCUGCAUUAGCUAGUUGGUAAGGUAACGGCUUACCAAGGCAACGAUGCAUAGCCGACCUGAGAGGGUGAUCGGCCACACUGGAACUGAGACACGGUCCAGACUCCUACGGGAGGCAGCAGUAGGGAAUCUUCCGCAAUGGGCGAAAGCCUGACGGAGCAACGCCGCGUGAGUGAUGAAGGUCUUCGGAUCGUAAAACUCUGUUAUUAGGGAAGAACAUAUGUGUAAGUAACUGUGCACAUCUUGACGGUACCUAAUCAGAAAGCCACGGCUAACUACGUG
rnacentral:rRNA from 1 species